UUAGUAGUAGUAUAUUAAGUAUACCUUCCUUCCAAGAAGGUGGUCCAGAUGUUUUGGCUACUAAA
rnacentral:tRNA from 1 species